rnacentral:rRNA from 1 species
UACGUAGGGUCCGAGCGUUGUCCGGAAUUACUGGGCGUAAAGAGCUCGCAGGUGGUUUGUCGCGUUGUUCGUGAAAACUCACAGCUCAACUGUGGGCGUGCGGGCGAUACGGGCAGACUAGAGUACUGCAGGGGAGACUGGAAGUUCCUGGUGUAGCGGUGGAAUGCGCAGAUAUCAGGAGGAACACCGGUGGCGAAGGCGGGUCUCUGGGCCACUACUGACGCUGAGAAGCGAAAGCGUGGGGAGCGAACAGG